rfam:Serendipita vermifera MAFF 305830 unplaced genomic scaffold scaffold_20, whole genome shotgun sequence.
CCACCUAUAGCUCAGUUGGUAGAGCGUGCGGCUGUAAUUGUUCGAUUGUCCACCGCAAGGUCACCGGCUCGAAUCCGGUUGGGUGGA